UUCUUGUCACUGUUUUAACUCGUCUAAAACGUUUGUUUCGCGCUUGGACAGUUUAACGACAUACUCAACACCUUAUUUUCUUCAAACGUUCUGGUGGGAUUUGUGCUGGCUGUGCUCCUGGACAGCACCUUGAAAGCGCAUAAGAAGGAUCGGGGAAUGGGGUGGUGGAAGAAGUAUCACAAGUGGGAUCAUCCAACAAAUGAAGAAUUCUACAAGCUGCCUCUCAAUAUGAACAGAUAUUUUCCUCCUCCACACUACUAAGAGACCAAUAAAAUUUCGGUGACCUUUUUUAACUGUAUAGAAUCUCCAAGAUUUGCAUUUUCAGCCACUCAAAAUGCAAGCAUAAACCAGCUUGAAAGCUUUCUGAAGUGACUUUCUCAUACGAAGAUCACCAAGAACUUGGAGACAUUCUUUUCUUUUUUUUGGAAGAACAAAGUUUCAUUAAAAACAUGCAAAGUUAAACAUGUAUUUUGUUUUGUUUUUUAGGCUGCAAUCAAAUAGAAUAGAACAGAAUAGCCUUUUACAUAUUUGUCUAAUAUUUGUUUUGGUUUGUGGUAUUUGGUGAUUUUCAAGAGGAAGAUUGCCAUUGGGUGGUUCAUGAGAGAUUGAACUCGGUAAUAAGUGCACUCUCAAGUGUGUUUGAAUGUAUGUCUCCCUCGUAGCAGAGUUGGCAAAGUCGCUCCUCCCACUGUAGCCAUGGUUCGUGAUAAGGAUCAGCAUCGUUGAUAUGUAUUCUAUCAAGUGGGAGAUUAGGUGUGGCUAUCUUCCUAGAACUUAGCCACCUUAGGAGAAUGACUCCCAAACAGUCAAUGUAAGCAGCCAAGAUCAUCUAAUUGCAGUAAAUUAAUCAACUCUUUUCAACCAUGUUUUGAAGAGAUAGUUGAAGGGCUGUAUAAGCUUGUUACCACCAGGAACAUGGAGAGUCGGGUGCAAGCAUGGCGAGCUUGUUCCUGCGGUCACAUGACUUUUGACCAUUCUUAAAGUUAGUUAAAUGACACAUACAAAGCCAUAAUAUUCUCUGUUGCAGUAAAAUUCUCAAUAAUGACUAAUCUAGAUCAAGGGGAGGGAAGUGUUUUUUAGUGGAUUUGCUGGGACAACCAUGUAGAGAUGUCCUCUUGAUAACAUAGAUGGAACAAGCCUUAACAGGCAGGCACACGCUAGUUAAAUUGAUUGCACUGUUGCCGACCGUUGGUCGACCAGCCUAGCAUGGUUACAAGUGGAAAGUCGCUCCAUUCAGCUGCAAGCCUGUCUCUGAGAGAGUCUGGAACACAAGUACUUGGUUCAUGUCUCCAACCAUAGCCCAUGAGAGCACUCCACAGUGUCAAGUUCGUGAUUGGAUGGAGUCAUAUCGAAUGUGUCCUCCACACUUGCUGUAGAAAUCUACCAGAGAGACCUUCAAACGCAAGCAUCAAACACAAUCCUUCCACUUUCUCUGGUAAGGCAUGAGUACGUUUUCGUGUUGUCUAGCAGCUGAAAAGAGCCCAAAAACCUGGGUGGUGAAUCUUUAAGACGAUCCAACCAUGAGCAGGCGCAAGACGUAUUUGACACUCUCAAUAUAAAAGCACCAUGCCAUCAUAGACAAUGGUGGCAUAUAAGCUUCACGCAUGGACUGCAUUGCUAGGGAUGGAUCUCCACAAACUCCUUUUGGCGAACACAGCAUCAGUGAGCAUGGUGAAAGGAAUGCCGCUCAGCCAUGUGUGGUGGCAUGGAAGACAAUGCUAGCUGUGGCCCGAAAGUGGCAGAAGGUGGAGAUUGAAAGGAUGGCAUUUCAAGGGCUGGUAGCACUGGAGGUGGAGGUAGACAAGGAUGAAGCUGGAUCCACAUUUGCGCUGAUGGCAAACAUCUACACUAGAACUGAGAUGUGGGAAAAACAUGCAUAGGUUCUCAAGGAAUAAGAAGAGCUUGUUUGUGGUAAGUUAGUAUCUCCUUUCAGUUCUUCCGGAACACUGAAAGAAGAAGCUAUGAGUGAGUGCUGUGAUUCUGGGAAUACUCAAGGCAUGUAUUAGAGCCAAGGUUGGAAAAUCAUUCAUGAUAAUCCAGUUUAGAGCGAUCACUACUCUUUACAUGGCGAGUGGUCUGGUUUAUACGGCAGCAUGGUGUUCGCAGUAGGUCUUUGAUGGGAUGACCAACAGGAUACAGUGUCGUGGAACUCAUUGAUUCAAGGAUACUCAUAAUCUCUUCCAUGAUUCAAGAGGCACCAUCAUGGUCUGAGGCAUCUCAAUCAACAAGUAGAGACCAAGAUUCUAUAGAUGCUAAAAAAUGAUCACGAGCCAAGGGCUUGGUGAAGAUAUUGGCCACCAUCUCUCCUGUAACACAGUACACCAGCUUGAGGAUCUCCUCUUCAGUCUUCUAAUGAACAAAAUGAUGAUGAGUGUCAAAGUGCUUGGGUGGCAAUGGUAGUGAGGGUUGGCAGCCAGAGCUAUACAGCUCCAGUUAUCACACCACAGCCUUGUUGGAACUUGCUGAGGAAGGCCAACCUCUACAAGUAAGGCUCUGAGCCACACGAGUUCUUUAGCCAUGUGAGAGGCACUUAGCAUUGCCACCUCUUUUCAAAGACUAUUGUUCAUUGAACAAUUUAAGGAAAUGUUUGUCAUCAAUUUUGUACUUCCGAUGAUUAUAAUACUUAUUAGCCAAUCCCUUAUUUCAUUCUUAAACUUGUCUCAUGUUUAACUUUGUUAACUCAAAUUUGUCUUACAUAUCUUCCAAAAGAAAAUCACAAAUAUAAAGCACUCAAACUAAAGUCAAACUCAAAGCUAUGGGAGACCUUGGUUAAUAGCUAUAUUGAUUGUUGAGUGUUAUUGUGAGUAAAUUGAAGAAAAACUAAAUAUUUAUUUAUAAUGCAUAUGGUUUUCAUCUUUUACCCUAUAAUGAAUUAUAAUAGAAUAACCAUAGAGCAAAACCUUAACCUUUGGACAUGUGGCCAAGAGCAAUGGAGCAAAAUCUAAGUUUUAAUGCCCAAGGCUACUGAACAAAGGAAACUCCCAAAGAGUGAAACAAUUAAAGCACAUAAUGACUCUAGAGUAUAUAUUCUAAGGAGCAAAGAGACAAAGUAUAAAAUGACAUUAGAAUAGUCUUAAAGCAUUCAACAUCUUAAUUCCAUGAUUAUUAUGCAAAACAAGGCUAAAUAGAAUUUGGUGCUAUUUCAGCAACUGGUUAACACAAAAAUAUGGAUAUUCUACUAAUUAGCAUGGUAUGGAGUUUAAAGUUAAACCCAAGUUAAAUGUAGAACAAGGAUAGAUAUACAAAACAAAGCCAAAUAGAAUUUAGUGCUACCAGUUAACACAUUAAUUAGCAUGAUAUGGAGUUUAAAGUUAAACCCAAGUUAAAUGUAAAACAAGGAUAAACACAUAAAUAAAGGAGUUAAACUAUACCUUUAGCCAAACCUAACUUACCCACUACCCUUAUUAUACAUUUGAACCCUUUACAAAGUUUUGCAUCUAGUUUAGGUCUAAUCUGAAGCUUUAUACUAUGUUAAUUAAUAAAGUAUUUAUAUCCUCACAUUAGGCUACUUAUAUAAAUAAAGUUUUAGAACAUAACACUUCAAGAAAAAAAUGUUUUUAAGAAUACAACCUUUCAAUUAUUUGAAUAUAAAUGCAUUCAAUCUUGGUGAAGAAGAAAAUUUUGGCUACAACAUUUUAAUUACAUGCUUUAAACUGUUAAAUGUUUUUUUCUAAUAUUUUUAUUAUAUUUUUAUAGUGUUAUGGCUGUCAUAUUGUGGAUCUAACAAUAUUCACUAUACUAAUAACAAUAAAGAGAGUGAGAAUUGGUGGAUUCAAUAAAAAAAGAUAGUAUAGCUAAAAAGGAUUAAAAUAGUGAUCUAGCCUAUUUUAUUAUAAGAAAAUACAUGAUAAAAUUUGUUUAAAGAAUUUUCAAAUACUUGGUGAAACAUAAAUAUUGAUAUUAUUCAAUUAUAAUUUUAGCUGAUUUAAUCCCAAAAAAAUGGUGUAAUUUUCUUUAGAUAUGUUGUGAUUUUACUAGAGCUUAAAAUAUUGAAGUUGACAUCUUUGGGAUCAAUUGCCUAUGGUUGAUUACCCUUUUCAUAUCACUUCACUUUAUAAAGUGUGAUAUUGAAUUAUAAUUAAAACAUAUUUGUGUUUUUAUAAGUGACAUAUUUAAAACAAACAAAUUUCUUUUGAAAUUGUUUCAUAUACUCAUAAAAUUGAUAGCACUUACGGUUUCAGUGGCAGACAAAUAUACGAUAAUGGUGUUAAGAAUAUACCGCAAUGGUGCUUAAAGAAUAUGCCACCAUGGUGAAUAACGAAUGUACCAAGAAAAUCCUAGCUAGAUGGUGGUAACAUAUGUUAUGAACCACCUUUUUCUUGUAUAAAUAGGGUUUGGCAGGGCUUAUGGAGCCCAUGGAGGUGGAUGAUCCGGUUUCUGGCUUGUCAAGGGAAAUCCGGGAAGUUGAACAGCAGAUUGCUGUGGUUGAGGGCCAAAUUACAGGGGUUGAGCGCCAAAUUAGUGCCAUUGAGGGGCAACUGGAGCAGCCAAAUGAUCCCAAGGAGGAGGAGCGGCUGGUCAAGAAGGAGGAGCAGCUGCGCGAGAAGGAGAAGCAGCUGCGCAACGAGGAGCAGCAGCUGCGCGAGAAAGAAGCAGCUGCGCAACGAGAAGAAGCAGCUGCGCGAGAAGGAGCAGCAGCUGUGGGAUAAAUUCAAGGGUAAGCCUUUGUUGAUCUCAUUGUUUUUCUUUCCCUUUUAGAUCUCUCUUUUGGCUUGCGUUGUUUUUUCUUGCAGAACCAGUCAAAGCGGUUUUGACUGUCGCAAAUAUAGAUAGUCUCUUGGAUAGGUUUUGGCAUGAGUUGCGCAAGCCAAAUCUUCAGUAUCCCAAGGCGGAUGCGUUUCUGGUGGAUUUCCCAACGUGUAAAGUCCCACUGCCAAAAGAUCCUACAGAUGAAUGCCCCCACCUCUUGUGGCAUGCACUAGACCAGCCUUUCGAAACAUCCAAGCGUAUCAUAGAGGUAACUAACGAAGCGCGGCCGACCCUCACCGUUCUCUUCAACGUGUCGGGAUCGGGGAAGACCAGGACAUUAUAUGAGAUCGCUCUAGCGCAGCGUGGGCUCUUCUUUGUGGGGGUCUCUGACACUGAUACUGGAGCUGAAGGUUCAGGAGAUCUCAAGUUAGUGACAUCAAAGUUGCUGGAGCUGUAUCCAACUGGAGACAUUCCAGAAGUUAGUGCUGCAAUCUGCCUCAAAGCCUUGCUCAUCAGCAGGUUUUAUUUGCUGGGGCAGGUGGAGAAAAUGGGCGAUUUGACGGGUCAGGCAUGGCUCUUCAAGCAGGUUGCACUCCAGCAUUUCUAUGGCUUCAAAGAUCCGUUCAAGGCGCUCACCAUUAGACUUUUAAACUUGAUAGGACUUGGAACGCAUUGAAGGUCAGUUCCAGGGGGUAUUGUAUCGUCUAAAAGGGAAUUGGGAUGGUCCGAUUAUAUUUGACGAGUGUCAAAUAAUAAAUUGCUGGUUGGAGAAGCGCUUUUCACCAUCGAUUCUUGGUUGUAGCAGCAGAUCAUUUCUCGACAUUCUUGUGCCGGCACUCGUAAAUUGUGGAUUUCGACAAUUAUACUAUGCAGGCACAAGUGGUAGUAUGCUAGCCGUGGCACGGGGUAUCUCUGCCACUUUGAAGAGAAGAGCUUCUGUUAUGGUCUUCCAUGGAUUUGGUGGAUUCACCACUGUUGAGGACUUCAAGCUCUAUGCUGGGAAACUACUCCGAAGUGUGGAUGGUAUUGAUAUGCAGAGGGUCUGUGAUUUGUACAAAGGGAGGUACAGGUUCUUUGUCACAGCACUUGAGCAUUUCAUUGGGAGCAAGCGUCCCUUGGAGCAGGCAACAGAAUUCCUGAUUGGCUUUUUUGAGAAGAUGUGCACCUCGAGUAAGAUCAGUCGUUCUCAGGAGGGUGUACCGAACAAAUCAGAAUUGGAAGUCUACAUGGAUAAGACGGUCCUGAGGGAUGUGGAGCUGUUUUUUGAAAGGACUCGGAAUGCUGCAGCGGUCAAGGAGCUAAAGGUGAUACUGUAUCACCAGAUGUUUGGGUCUAUAUCCACUGUACUCAACAUCAACAAUCCAUCUCUGAGCCUUGUGGAGUUCGGGUUAGCCUGGCUAAGCAGGGGAGACAGUGUUGCGUUGGAGGACUUGGAUAAGUUCUCUGCAGAGCAGGACAGAGACAUUUGGAUCAAACUGCAGGAACCUGCUGUCAUUCGAGCUCUUUUCCAUUAUUUUAGUAAUUGACCAAUAAUCUUUGAUAAGUUUUGUCAGCAGGCAGUUUAAAGCUAAGGGCCAAGGCAGUGAUAUGACAGUGACAGUGGGUCUUGAGUCUGAAAGGCUGGUGGGGUUUAUGGUUGACGCAUUGGACGGAAAGGCUCCUGUAGACUUUGUGUCUCGCUUUCUUCAGAAUCGCUUUGUAAAACUGAGCAACAACAAUUUUGAAGUUCCUGCAAUAUAUCUUGAGAAGGCAAAGGUGGUGAUGGCAUGCCUUGCAACAGGAGUUGUGACAAAGAUGUGCGGUAAAAGUCAGGAGUUGUGACAAAGAUGUGCGGUAAAAGUCACACCCAUGGCUCUGACUGUUAUACACUUGGGAGCAGUAUCUCGACGACAUUGAAGGGCAGGCUGACGCACUGCCAAUGGUUCUCUGGACUGGUGAUGGUGGCUGGGGUGCCUUCCGUCCAGACGCGUUGUUUUUUCUCACCAAUGACUAUGAGUCAGAGCGGCGGCUCAUUCCUUGCUCAUUACAGAUGACAGCCGGGGAUGAUGCGAAGGUGAAAUUUCAAGUGCUUUGGACAGGAUCUGGAACAGUUUGGUUUCAACUCUUUUGCAGGUCAACUCCCUAGUGGUGGGCGGCUUUCCCCACUGAAACGGCAAAAUGUUGAGGGGGUCAUACAGCCAUUAUGUGGAGUGAUUGGUGGCAAUAACGUGUCUUUGUAUCUGAAAGAGUGGUUGAUUGAUUCGGUCUGGGUUCUUAAAGUUAAUGUAUAAAAAUCUACAAGUUCCCAUCGAGAACCUGUAAGUCGUGUCUAGCACAAGGAAUACGAAAGAAAGACUUUGAAUCAAACCGGCAAUGCAAGAUCCAGUUGGUUUCUCCCAGCAUUGCAAGAAAAGCGAAAAAUCAUAACUGGCAUUAGCGAACUCGACUGCUGCUCCUUUGAGAAGGCUCCAUCUCUUUGAGACGAAGAACAAACGAAAAAAAAAAAGAGAGAGAACGCACGAUUUCGUGGAAUUGAGCUAGCAAUUCCACUUCUCACCCCUGACUUGUUUCAGUGCCGCCACCCUCGACUUCUCUCUAGCGGUGACUUCUUCCUUUCUAGAAAUUCUAUCCUCAGAGCCUUCUCUCUCGCCUAUAUUCCCUAACGAGUUCUUGCCACUAGAAAACCAGCCCCUUGUAUUGUGAAUGUAGCGCUUGCCGCUAGGCCUGUGCUCCAUCGCUGACUCUCUCUAGCAUCGUUAUCCCAGCCGGAGCUUUCCCAACGAGAUGGGUUCCAUCGUCUUCUUCCUGGGAUGGAGCAGCCACUGGACGAUCUCGCUCCUCCUCCACGCGGAUAAUCUCCACCAUCAUGUCCAAGAAUUCGUGGAGCUGAUCUUGCAUGGUAGAGCUUGGGGUGAUGAUCGUCGGCGGCUCUUUGGCGCUCGAUUCUAGGCCUAGCAGCGGGCUAUAGAGUGAGAGAGCUAUAAUCCACGACGCAGCUGCGCAGCCGCUUCUCUUCCUCCUCCUCUUCGCUGGAUUCUUGCAUCGAUCGCUUUCUCAUCUCCAAAACCCUAGGAAGAAUGCGCUCACCUCUCUGGAUCCAGCAAUGCGCGGCCGAUCUACCGAGCUCCGCUCCAGCACUCCAAGAUCGCAUCGAUCGAUCGUCUCGCUAGGGUAAACCAUGGAGGCUGGAAAUAUUUGGAGGGCUUUUGGUGUUUGAAAGGUCAAGAUGGGCUAGGCUAUUGUCGAUCCUUCCUGGUGGAGGAGAGCGCGGCUUCUUCUCCCAGGCCAGGCACUGGAUUCGCUACCGCGGCAGCAUCAUGGCGCUGGCGACGGGACAAUCCCAGGUCCAUAGAGCUCGAGGCUAUCAUUCUUUCCUGGCGGCUCCGAAUUGCUAGAGAAUGUAACCCUUCCCCUGGAACUCCAGAAGCUAGAAACAGAUCGAGAAGUAUGAUGGUGAAAGAAUUUCGAUGAAUUGCCUCGUUUUCAUACUUCUUUCUUUCCAGGGUUUUCUGCGAUGAAAAGGAACUCUUGGACGCUGGCAGGAAAUCCAAGUAAGCUCUAUCUGCUUUUUUUCUUUCAUGGAGAGAGCACUGGUGAUUUUGUUUUCCUUCUCCAGGGAGCAUGGAUUCUAAGGCCGAGCAAAGGAGUUGUUGUCCAUUUUGUUGUACAUCCUCUUAAGGUAGGCCCGGGGAUAAAACAAACAAAUAAAAUAAUAUUAUGUGGCUAAGUUGCUAUAUUAUCUAACAAAUUUUGCUUGCCCUAAUUUUGCAGUUUGGUUGAGUUCUUGAAGGGGUUUGUUGGAGGAUUUUUGCUGCAAUUUUGAAUUAAAAUUUGCAAGAAAUGAAGAAUUGUUUACCCUCACUUUAUAUGUGGUCACAAUUUGGCUUAUAUUCUAAUUUAGCAAUAACUCAAAUUCAUGUAAGUAUAGAAUUUUGUAAUUUUAGAAUUUUGUUUAUUUUUCUCAAUAUCAAGGGAGAAAAAACCUCCUCUUUUAAAGCUAGUAUGGGAUUUAUGUCAAAUGUAACUUUGAUCCAUGUAUUUCUUUUUGUCUUUUUGCUUUUAAACUUUUGCUUAGAUGCUUUAUUUCGUUAAAGUGAAACUUUUCAUUAUCCCACUUAUGGUGUGUGGCCACAUGCCAUUUUUAUAACAACAAUAAAAAAUUGAAGUUUUAGCUUUAUAAUUUAUAAAUUAAAAACUUUUCAUAUGAUUUUGUGUUAUAAUAUUGUGAAAUAUAAAAAAUAAAUAAAAAAACUGAUAGAAAUAUUAAUAAAUAUUAAUUAAGUACUAGGAAAUGGCAUGUGGACACAUGCUAAUUAAUGUCCCACUUUACUGAAUAAAUUCCACUUUAACGAAAUAAAGCAUUUAGCAAUUUAGUUUUGCAUUGCUAUGAUGAUUGGAUUUGUUCUAAAUAUUUCUAGAAUUCAAGUUACUUUCAACCUUAAGCUGGUAUUGUUUUUAUACUUUGUCUUGAAUGUAUUUUUAUAAUAACAAGGAUUUCAUAUUUAGAAAUUCCUCUUUCACAACUUUGUUAUCACUACAUCCUCUAGAAUUAACUCUUGUAAUGGAAUAACAAGUAUUCUAGAAGUACAACAAAUAUUAUUUUUAUUUAUUACUUAAUUUAUAAACUUAUUUUUCUAAAUGAACCAACUUUGAAUAAUGAACACAAAGGAAAAUGGUAUAUUAAUUAGAACAUAGCUUUCUAGUACACAGAGAGGAUGGAAAAUGAAAAGGAUUGAGAAGGUAGUGUCAAUGAAAGAAUCAAAGAAAUAGUGAUGCAUUUUUGGCAUCUUAUGUUCAAAAGAAUUUCAUCACAUACCAAAGUAAUGUGAGUCAUAAUAAGAUGAGCUUGAUAAGAAGUGGAGGCAAAUUAGUGACUAUGAAAGUAACAUCCUAUUAAGAAAAUUAUCCUACUUUAGUAGUGAAUUUAUUGUAAGGAUGAAAAAGGAUGUGAAGCCUCCUUUGUGCAUUUGACAAAGGCCUCUACAAUGAAAUGUCAUUAUGGAUAACACAGUCAAGAAUUAUUGUUCCAAGUAGCCACCAAAUUGAUACAUCCAUAGGUUUCACAAUUGCAAGCAAAUCAUUAAGUUAUAGUAAGUUCAUUUGUCUUUUUAUGAUUAACUUUUAUCUUUCUUUUUUCAAGAAACAAAUCUAGACUCAAAUGUUGUAUUUGAGAUACGAGAUUCUAAAAAUGCACAUUCCAAAAGUACAAGUUGGAAAUUUUAAUAACUACAGGGAAAAAACACAAAUACACUCCAAAGGGAUUUAAUGGUUUCCUUGAGUGAAGUGAUGAGAAAAGGAAAGUAAUAAUGCAAAAACUUCAAAAUAACAACAUGCAAAUGAUGGAGAAAAUAGCCGAUGAUCAAUGGCACUAAAUUUUGAUUUUCACUGUAGAAAGGAGAGUUGUAAUGAUGUUGCAAAGAACAUAUGUGAUGUGUGAGGAACUUCAACUGCUCUAGCAAGCUUUUGUGCAAUCAAUUGUGACAAGGAGAAGUAGAAUUGCAAUAUUUUUUUUUAAAGUGUUGAAAUGGAAUUGAGUUUAAUUAUAAGCUAGGUCACGAUAUUAGGUGCUGGAUCACGUAUAGAGGUAUGGAGCACCUCAAGCAAGUUUAGGUUUGAUCUUGAUUCAGCCCUUGGCCAUGAGCUCUCGGCCUUGGAGCUUGGCCAUGAAGCUCUUAUGGCCAUGAGCUCUUGGCCAUGGAGCUCUUGGCCCUUGAGCUCUCGGCCAUGGCUUUCAUGGAUUUUGGUGAGCAUCUUAUAGAUAUCUUUUUACUUGGGGUUACCUCUAAAUUUAUCCCAUGACUAAGCAUUUGCUGCACCUUAUAUAUUUCAUGCCCAUAUUCACAAAGAGUACAAGCGCAUGACUGGUUCUUAAUUCUCUCUUAGCUCCCCAUGAACAAAAAAAGUUCUCCAAGCUUUGGCAAGAGCUAGACUAUCAUUCUACCUUGCCAAAGAGCAAGUAUUUACCAUUAGAUAUUGCAUUAGGAGAUUUGCAUAGUGCCUCUCCACUUUGAAUUUUUCCUCAAGCUGUAGAUCCACCACUUCCAAAGAGGCCAAGACACAUUCUUAGAGAUCUUGAGUACCAACCAAUAGCUGCAAAUCAAUCAAGGAUGGUGCAUCAACCUCCACCACCUCCCUCACCCAUGCUGAUGGUGCAUGUGUUAGAUUCAAAAGCAUAUUCUUUCAAAAGGUUCCUCCCAAAGCAACUUAUCCAAGACUUAUUCUAGCACAAAUGAGUCUAUUUUCGACUAUACAAUGCGAUUCAAGGCAUUUUAGAAGAUCUUUCUUGACAAAAGAGUGACACAAGAAGAGUCCAUUGGAGUGUUAGCCUUUGUAUAAGGCCUCAAGCCUGGGCUCUAGAGAAAAGUUGCUAAGUGAUGUUGUGACACCUACCCACCACUAGUGAUGUCAUGAUGCCUACACACAUGCUGGAGAACUUUAGUUGGAGAUGUUCCACAAACUCGGUGUCUCCUUCAUUGAGGAGCUUGUCCAAAACCCUUAGUGCUUGUCUUUAUGCCUUUUUUUGCAUCACAGCCCCUCAGUCAGUCGUUGAGAAAAUUUCCGCCACAGUUGAGUCUACUUUGGCCGAGUUCAAGGAGUACAAGGUGAUCCUUCAGCAACAAUAGAACUAGUAGAGCAAACUCAUGGAGGAACUUCAAACAUUGAAGAUGGCUAUACAAGACUCUUGGUGAUAGCCUCAUUGGUGUAAGAAGUGCAAGGUCUAGUUACACAACACCACUCGUUGUUGGUGACUACAAUUAGAGCUGUGCCACAGAGAUAGUUGCCACAUGAGCAGAGAGUCUAGUGCCAACAAUUUGUAGAUAAUAAGGCCCUAAAUGCCUUUAUAGAGUACUAUGAGACACUACAUUAGUGUGCCAUCAAAGCACCACCGGCAAAUGAAUAUGGCAAAUUCCCAAUGAAUAUAAUUCAUAUAGUAGCAGAGUUGAUAGAAAAGGUGGCUACUCAGACUUAGAGGAAAGCAUAGAUAGCAGUAGAGGAGUUGGACACUAGCUUCAACAAUUGUUUCCCCUCUAGUUCUCAUUGCUUGCAAAUUGCCUUUCUUGAAAGCAUUUGCAACAGUGCCAUCGUAUUCACUCAUAUCUUGAAUUUCAACAUUUGCAUGCAUGCCAAACUUCACCAACACACAGCCCAGAGGGUCUCCUUUGAUGUCAAGUGGUCACUCAAGCAAUCUUAUUGACCAAGUCAUGGCAACUUUAAUCACAACUUCCUACUACUUCCCAACCUUGCUUUAGCAACUUAAGGUUUUAGUGCAAGCUCUUAGUGGAAUGGCACCCUCUUUAGUCUUAGAUAUGGCUCCUAUUCUUGUUGUCAAUGCCAUAGUGGCUCUUGAUCCUAGCACAUUCAUAGUUUUGACAAUGAUUAUGGGCAUUUAUGUGGAGGCUCUUGUUGACUCUGGCUUGGCCAUAAAAAUUCUCUCCUCCACUCUCACCCAACAAGUAGGCUUCCAAAUCUAGGAUUAUUCCAAGGUCGUGCUAAAGACCUUUACAGAUUACUCUAUGGCACUUGCAGGAAUUUUCCAGAGUGUCCUUGUUCUCAUCUAUGGUCAUGAGUCCAUAGUUAACUUCCUUGUCAUGGAGCUAUGGGAACCUCCUCACAGGAGAAGUCCAUCAUUUUGGGAUAGCUAUGGUUAGAUGCAAUGUCUUACGUCUUCAACUUCAAGUAUAGGCAACUACAGAUUGGGAGAGGUGACAACCAAGUGACAAUCCUCAAUGCUAAGUGUAGGCAAUUGCAUCCUAGAAUAUGGUUGAGGUCACCAAAGCAUCAUUAAACUCCUCUCCACAACAAUCCUUUGCUUCUUCAUCAAUUGCCAACAUGAUGAUGGAUGGAGUCUUAAUAUUUGGGAUGCAACAUGAUUGAUUUUCUACACAUGGAUUGGACAACAUUGUCCCUCAAUUUCUCCUCCAUCCACUUUGCAUCACUAUACUCAGGCUCAAGGAGGCAAAAGAUCUAGACAAGAUUCUUAAGAUUCCAAAAAUACCUAACUUGGAGAAGAAUACAAUUUUUGUGGUGCAUUUGGAGAGUGAUUUUCUUGAGACAAAUCUUAUUGCAGGGAUACAAGAGGACACUCUAUAACACUUUUUCACAUAGCUAGAGGUGGUAGAUUUAGUUCUUUCUAGCUCAGAUUCUACACAACUCUAUCAACAUGAGUGAUAUCUAUAUGAGGUUUCAAGAAGAAGCAAUGGCUCUUGCACUUGUGGAGCACAAGGCCCAUCCAGAUAAGGCCACUUCACUUGAUAUUGACCUAGCAUGACUUGCAUUUGCAUUGCCAAGGGGAUUUCUCUUCAUCCCCUACAGUUAAUAUCCAUUAGGCUAUACCUUUACAAGAAAGUCUUGAAGGCAUAUAUACUUUACCAUGUGACCUUAUGAGCAAUGAUAAGAACAUAUUUGCAGAGACUUAAAGGCUCUUUCCAGCCACAACUUUUUUGCUGCACCUUCUCCAGCUCUCCACCAUAGUCCAGAACACUCUGACACAAAAGAUGGAUGACAGGCUAGAAGCUCUAUCAACCAAAGGUGGCAAAAGUAACACCUUUUUUCCACCACCAGCCCAACUCUUUUCAGAAGCUUCUCCAGCCUUAGGAUGUUAUAUUAGACCUCUCCAACCACAAGAUAUUAGCUAUGGCCUCACCCAUAAUGAUCAUGGCAUCUUCUGUGGUCAUUGACACUUCACUCAACCAUUGGAUUCUUAUGAGCAUUUUAGACUGAGUUCACUAUUUUGGAGAUUCUUCCUUCCAUGCUUUAGGGGCUCUAGACAUUGCCAUACACAGCCGAGCUCCAAAUUUGCUCAUUUCAGCAAUUCUACUCACUUUGGGCCUACAUUACAUCACACAUUAGAGGGUGAUAUAGUAGCUUUUGCAGCAUCUCUAGCCUCCUUUAUGACUCUUUACGACCUCCUAGCAUAGACUCAAUCAUUGCUCAAUCUAUGUAGUUUCGACAAGGCAAGCCCUUUUCAAUGGGAUAACAUGUGAUGCUCCAUGAUUUAGUCAUCCAUAACUUUCUCCCUUAGGUGGCUUGGUCCCUUCUUCAUCAAAAAGCACAUUAGAUGUGGUAUUUACAUCCUCACAGAUGAGGUAGGGUAGGAGUUGUCUCUUUCUCUCUCACUCUCUUAGGUGAGCUCAUUUCACUCUCUUUUUCUUCCUUUUCUUUUAUUUUUCUUUUUUCACCUCUGCUUUGAUCUCUUCUUUGUCACAUCCAAGAUGUGAUUCUUAUGACAGAGUAAGCAUAAGCUUGGGCUUUCACCUUAAGGCUGCAUCAACUCCUCUCAUUUGGAAGCUCAUCAAUUUCAUGGUUUGCUAUUCACAGUUCCUAUGUUUUCUUUACAUGAUAUCACUCCAUCUAUCUUCAACAUCACUCUCCAUUACUCAUAGUCACAAUUGAAUUAUUUCAACUUGCUACACCACUCACUACAAUUUCUUGGUUCAUAUUUCUUCACUUUUCUCACCAUGCAAAAAUGAUCUCAAGGAUCCUAUUACAUCACUCUAUUCAUCAUCAAAAUACAUAGCAAAAACAUCAAGAAACAGCCAAAUCUAACAUGUCAGACUCAACAUAUGAUACAAAUUACCUCGAUGUAGCAAGUACAGGUACUUAGCAACUGAUUCUUGAGAGCUGGUUGGACCAGAUGCACACAAAAAACCAGGAAUUACUUUGGAUGGACUAUCAUAUAUGCUGCUGACUACGUUGACCAUAUUCACAAGUUGCCAAGUCCCCUUUACUAUCACUCCAUUACAAUUGGCUAUCACUAUCUUCCACUAUGCAUUUAUUAGGCAGCCAUCUUCCAUCAUUCUUAUAGUUACCAUUUUUAGGCAACACAUUCACUUUCAUCACUUUGAGGAGGCCUUAAGUUGGAGUUCAAGUAAGUGGUUCUCCUAUUUAGUUUUAUGUUUCUAUCUUCUCUUUUUCCAUUUUUCCUUUGUUCUCUUUUUCUUCUCUUUUCUUUGUUUCAUUUUCACUUGUCUUUCCUCCACUUUGUCUCUUCCUGUUUUAGUGUCUAUUUCUUUUGUCAAGUUUUCCCAUGUGGUUUUCCCUUGACUCUAGAACUCUAUACUCUCUUUCUUAAUUUUCACUUUCCUUUGUUUUUUCUUUGGUCUCUUCUCCUCAUAGCAAUUAUUGACAUAGGGCAUCACCUUGGAGUCUACACCAACACUUUGGCUAUGGGUUCUUUAAUGCAACGUAGCUAGUGUAUUUGUUUGUGGUCACUUGUUAGGAGAUGGCUUAGAGCUUUGUGUGAGAUUCCUAGAAUAUUCCACUAUCAAAAUAUUUUAAAGUCAUGAGAAGAUGCUAGCAUGCAAGGGUAUAUUCCCCUUUUUCCCUAUUUUCUAAGGUAUAGAGUUCACACAAGAAGGAUGUUUUUUUGUAAGGACGAAUUUUGAUAAUCAUUUAUAACUAGUGGUGCCUUUGAUUUUUAUUCUAUGUUUUCUCCAUGCCUAUUAUGAUUCUCCUAUUCUAUGUGAGCAUAUAGGACAUCAUCGUAUGAUCAAGAAGCUGUGUAGGUCUUUCUAUUGGCAAGAAAUGCGACGUGGUGUGAGUAGUUAUGUUUGGUGUCAAGUUUGUAAUACUCUCUUUAAUGCUACAGAAGGAUAGUAGGAGUCAAUUGCAAUUUCUUGUUUAUUUGAGUUGAUAGCAUUUGAUUUGAUAGGGCAUUUUCUAUGGAUUGACAAUGAGUAUAUCAUUAUUACUUCUGACUAUUUGAUUUGCUAGAUGGAAGUCGGUGCUUUUGCUAGUGCAUUUACAACUAUUAUUGGAUAUUUCCUCUUUAAUCAAGUGGUGUUUCAACAUUCUUGUCCCAAGUAAAUUCUUUUGGAUAAUAAUCCCAUAUUUAUGGCUGAGACAUUUUAUAUUUUAAUGUUUUGGUUAGGGAUACACCACACUUUCAUAAGUGUUUAUCAUCAUUCACAGUCAAAUGGUUUGAUAGAAUGACUUAUUCAGACCUUGAAAGGGAUGACCAUAAAGUAUAUAAAUUUUUAAUAUUCAAAUUAAAAUGGCUAUUUACCAUCUCUUUGGUAUGUAUAUGUUACAUGGGUGCAAAAUUCUAUUAGUGUUUCACCAUAUAAACUUUUCUAUGGUCAUAAUCUACUGGAGUUGGGUUUACCUUUGUAAUUGUCACGAACUACAAAUGGUAGGUCUUAGGAUUAGUAUUUUAUAAGCAUUCUUCCAUUGGUCUAAGUAAAGUCUGUCAAACACCUAGAUUGGAUACAAAUGGGAUAAUAAUGGUGCUAUAACUCCCAUUAUUGUCCACCUAAGAAUUACAAAAUAAAUGUGGUAUUAGUCCAUUUUUUUAAUCUUAUAGUAUAUAGUUUGUCUAAGGCCUUUCUUGUUUAGUAGAAGGGACUAUAUCAAGUGUUAUGGCAAAUUGGAUUGCAAAUUUAUAAGGUUUAGCAUGAUGUCUAAUAAACCAAUCCUUUAAAAAUUGUGCAUGUACAAUGGUUGAAACACUUUAUAUAAAGGGAUCAAGAAUAACUAACACCACAUACAAAUCUAUUGAUGCCUUUAAGCCUAUCCACUAGAGAACAUUAACUAUUUUCCAUCCUUCCGAGGGGAGGGGAUGAUGUAAGAAUUAAGUAUACAAUUACAAUGCCAUAUCUUAAUAUUAGUGUGGUGGGAUUUGAUAGCUAUUGGAUUGUUUUCAAUUUGGAUCAUAUGCUUCUAUGUACAAGCUAGGGUUUUCGGGUUAAUUAAUAUGCACAUUUCUGUAUUCCAUUUUCAUAUUCCAUGCACUCAUAAUAUAUAUGUAUAUAUGUAUAUAUAUAUUACCUUAUCUAGGUAAUAUAGUAAUUAUAGUACUAUAUCUAUUUGGGAUUAAAUCUGGUAGGUUUAAACCUUAAUUAAUACAUCCCGAGUAACAGCUAAAGCAUUAUAUUUACUAAAUAUAUUUUUUUAUUAGAUCCAAUUGCAACCUGGUUCUAUAUAAAACAUUUUAUAACUUUCAUUUUAUAUAAGCUGUAAACACAAUAAUGCUGCAUCAUAAUAAUGAUUUGUUGCAUUAAACAGCAACAUGAUUUGCUUUGGUUUUUAUAAGUUUUACAGAAUUUCAUUUUUAUACUUCCAUGGGCUAGAAUCUAUGCCCUUCAUGAGAGCUCAAUGAUGUAAAAUUUGAUAACUUAGCUUUAAGGUUCAUGGCUUUGUUUGGCAUGCUGUUUCAGACAAUGUGAAUCCUUUUAACUUAGAGGAUAAUAUGUAGAAGUGUUGCAAUUCCUCCUAAUGGUUUUAUGAAGAUCCCAAAGCUGACAACCAAAAUCCUACUAUAGUUUGGGAAAUUUCACUUGGUACUCUUAAAAUUCUAGCUAUGAAGAACUUCAUCGCUUCUUUGCCACCCUGUACACUUGCAAUGAUUUAUAUUGAAAGAAAAUUAUAGAGAAAGUUUACAAGACAGCCAUAAGAUUAGGGAAUAUCCUAGAAUACAAUAGCAUAUUCUAGGCCUGCAAGAAGCCUCUGUGCUAUUCAAAAUGAUUUUGCAAUAUUAUCCAACAUGAAAAAUUGAAACUUUUUAUCCUUGAUUUCUCAUAAAUAAAUUAAGUAUAUUUCUAAAGCGCGCUGGAAAUUUGAUUGGUUUGUCGUUCUUGUCCAGACAAACAACAAUCCCUUUAGCCUCUAACACUGGCUGCAAACAAGAAGAAAAAACUUGAAAACCCGAAAGCAAAGGUUAUAAACAAAACCCACGGACUUCUUUGUGAGGAAGCUUGUAAAUGUUGUGGUCGAAAAACAGUCUCACAGCCGAUGAUCCAGUUAUCCUAGCCGUAACAAGGAAAACAUCCCCUGACUGGCAUAAGUAACAUUAAUACCCCGGACAGAUAGAACAAGAAUUAGAAGAUCAUACUUUCAAAAAGCUCAAGUACUUGAUGUUGAGCUCCGCAAGCGCAAGCACAGCACCAGUCCCGGCAUUAAUACUAUCACUGGAGUGAGGAUGAAAGUUCUGUGGCUGAAAGCUGCAAACAAGAAGAAAAAACUUGAAAACCCGAAAGCAAAGGUUAUAAACAAAACCAACGGACUUCUUUGUGAGGAAGCUUGUAAAUGUUGUGGUCGAAAAACAGUCUCACAGCCGAUGAUCAAGUACUUGAUGUUGAGCUCCGCAAGCGCAAGCACAGCACCAGUCCCGGCAUUAAUACUAUCACUGGAGUGAGGAUGAAAGUUCUGUGGCUGAAAGCUGCAAACAAGAAGAAAAAAUCCGGACAAUCCUGCCGUGGAUGCUCCGGCCGUGCUCCACCAUCUCCGCCUUGUCGCAGGCGUUGAGGAAGUUGACGUAGGUGACCCUGUCGGGGUGGAAGCCGUGCUGCUCCAUUUGCCGGAGGAGCAGCACCGCCUCGUCCCCCCUGCCGGCGUUGGCGUAGCCAGCCAUCAUCACGUUCCAGGAGAUCACGUCCCGCGCCGCCACCAUGGAGGCGAAGAUGGCGGCGGCGCGAUCGAAGUCGCCACGCUUGGCAUGCAUGUUGAUGCACGCGUUCCUCACCGCCACCUCCUCCUCCACGACGUCGCCACCGCCACCCCGCACCGCCGCCAUCUUGGCAAACAUCCCCGCCGCGCCAUCCACGUCCCCGCAUUUACCCAGCAGGCUGAUGAGCCCCGUCCCAAUCGCGGCAUCCCACUCCAGCCCCGUGUCCAGGAUCUGCGCCACCAUCUCCUUUGCCGCCACCGUCAGGACCGAGGACACUCCCGCUGGCUUAGUUCACAGUGAUAGUACUGUGGGAUUCUCCGUCCCACAGUACUUCUACGAGUUCAGAUCGGCCAGCAACCAUGGCCCAGUUAACACAAAUGCGGAAUGGGUAAUUUUUCUUGUCACUGUUUUAACUCGUCUAAAACGUUUGUUUCGCGCUUGGACAGUUUAACGACAUACUCAACACCUUAUUUUCUUCAAACGUUCUGUGCUGGCUGUGCUCCUGGACAGCACCUUGAAAGCGCAUAAGAAGGAUCGGGGAAUGGGGUGGUGGAAGAAGUAUCACAAGUGGGAUCAUCCAACAAAUGAAGAAUUCUACAAGCUGCCUCUCAAUAUGAACAGAUAUUUUCCUCCUCCACACUACUAAGACACCAAUAAAAUUUCGGUGACCUUUUUUUAACUGUAUAGAAUCUCAAAGAUUUGCAUUUUCAGCCACUCAAAAUGCAAGCAUAAACCAGCUUGAAA
rnacentral:lncRNA from 1 species